AUUGAACGCUGGCGGCAUGCCUUACACAUGCAAGUCGAACGGUAACGGGCCUUCGGGUGCCGACGAGUGGCGAACGGGUGAGUAAUGUAUCGGAACGUACCUUUCAGUGGGGGAUAACGUAGCGAAAGUUACGCUAAUACCGCAUAUUCUGUGAGCAGGAAAGCAGGGGAUCGCAAGACCUUGCGCUGAUUGAGCGGCCGAUAUCAGAUUAGCUAGUUGGUGAGGUAAAGGCUCACCAAGGCGACGAUCUGUAGCGGGUCUGAGAGGAUGAUCCGCCACACUGGAACUGAGACACGGUCCAGACUCCUACGGGAGGCAGCAGUGGGGAAUUUUGGACAAUGGGGGCGAACCCUGAUCCAGCCAUGCCGCGUGAGUGAAGAAGGCCUUCGG
rnacentral:rRNA from 1 species